GAAUCUAUUCUCCUCUCUCUCCUCUUCUCUUCUUCAUAUAUUCCAAACCGAUUCAGCCUCUGACAGCAAACCUCGAUUUUGGCAUUCCCUCUGUGUAUCAGUAAACCGUUGUCGUUUAGAGUUUCAAUGGCGAGAAUCCUUGGAGGAAAGUAUAAAAUCGGUGAAAAAAUUGGGAGCGGAUCAUUUGGUGAAAUUUACAUUGGAUCACAUAUAGAUACUUCUGAAAUCGUAGCCAUCAAAAUGGAGAGCAAGAAAACCAAUCAACCACAGCUAUUGUACGAGUGCAAUUUAUAUAGUAUUCUUCAAGGAGGAAGUGGAAUUCCAAGAAUGAAAUGGUGUGGCACUGACGCGGACAAUAAUGUUCUUGUUAUUGAACUUCUGGGACCAAGUCUUGAAGAUCUCUUUUACUUCUGUGGCAAUAAAUUAUCUCUCAAAACAGUUUUGAUGUUGGCUGAUCAGAUGCUUACACGGAUAGAAUAUAUACAUUCCAAAGGAUUUUUGCAUAGAGACAUCAAACCCGAUAACUUCCUUAUGGGUCUCGGAAAGAAAGCAAAUCAGAUUUACAUGAUUGACUUUGGACUAGCAAAAAGAUACAGGGAUCCCAUCACAAAUAAGCAUAUCCCUUACAGAGAAAACAAAGGUUUAACAGGGACUGCCCGUUAUGCAAGUUACAAUACUCACUCAGGAAUUGAGCAAAGUCGUCGAGAUGAUUUGGAGUCUCUUGGCUAUGUUUUAAUGUACUUUUUAAGAGGAAGUCUUCCAUGGCAAGGUUUGCAAGCUGCCACCAAAAGACAAAAGUAUGAUCAAAUUUGCAAAAAGAAGUUAUCAACGCCCAUUGAGGUACUUUGCAAGUCAUAUCCUGUGGAGUUUGCCUCUUACUUUCAUUAUUGUCGCUCUUUGACAUUUGAUCAACGACCAGAUUAUGGUCUUUUGAAGCGUUUGUUUCGUAAUCUGUUCACUCGUGCAGUUCUUCUUCCUCUGCUCCCGCGCAGUUCUUCUUCCGCCGCUCCGCCGCGCAUCCAACUUGCUCCCGCGGAAGCCUAUUCCUCUGUCUCUGCUCCCAAAGCCCAUGGCCGCAUCGUCGUUGUCCCACCCCCAAACCUGUCACGCCUCCCACCCCCGCAACCCUAACCCCACCACCAAUCAGAACCGCCAACGGACGCGAUCUCGCUCCGCCAACGGACGCGAUCUCGCUCCGCCACGGGAAGCGAUCUGGACGCGAUUUUGCUCCGGCACCGGACGCGAUCUGGACACGAUAUCGAUCCGCCAUCGGACGCGAUCUGGACGCGAUCUUUCUCCGCCAUCGGACGCGAUCUCGCUCCGCCACCGGACGAGAUCUGGACGCGAUCUCGCAACGCCACCGGACGCAAUCUGGACACGAUUUGGCUCCGCCACCAGACGCGAUCUCGCUCUACCACCGGACGCGAUCUGGACGCGAUCUGGCUCCGUCAUCGGAUGCGAUCUCUCUCCUCCACCGGAUGCGAUCUCGCUCUGCCCCCUCGUCGAACUGGCACCGCUUCCUUGCUGUCGUCUCCGCCCCCCAAGCUCGACAAGUUUGUUCCGCCGCACCUCUGGCCUGGAGUUUUGCUACUUGUCCAUGGAGUGCGGUUGUCCAAUUGGCUAAUACAAGAUGGCAGCCCAUCACUAUAUGGAGUGGUUCAUGAAAGGCUCCUUGCUAUGUACAUUUGUGCUGGUCAUGGAAUUGAGGCAGAGAAACAGUUGAGGGAGAUGAAGCUUUGGAGAUGAAGCUUGUGGGUAAGGAAGUUGAUGGACAUCUUUGUGACAUUGUUCUUGCCAUUUGUCCUUCACAGAAAUAGGGCAAUGCCAUUUUGUGAUGAGUCGUGAUAGUCUAGGAGGAUAUCUUUUGCAUCUUGCUGAUUUGUGAAAAGAUUAUCCCUUGUUUCUUCUGGUUGAAGAGGUUGGCAACAUUUGAUAUUGAUGAUUAUUGUACUACUCAGUGGAAACUGACAAAUUUUAGAUUACAGUAUAUGUUAUAUUAAUUUUAGAUUACAGUAUAUGAUAUUGAUGUUUUAUUGUUUCA